AGCAGUAGGGAAUAUUGGGCAAUGGGCGCGAGCCUGACCCAGCCAUGCCGCGUGCAGGAAGAAGGCUUUCUGAGUCGUAAACUGCUUUUGACAGGGAAGAAUAAGCGGGUCGUGACCCGUGAUGACGGUACCUGCAGAAUAAGCACCGGCUAACUCCGUGCCAGCAGCCGCGGUAAUACGGAGGGUGCGAGCGUUGUCCGGAUUUAUUGGGUUUAAAGGGUGCGUAGGCGGCCGUUUAAGUCUGGGGUGAAAGCCCGUUGCUCAACAGCGGAACUGCCCUGGAUACUGGAUGGCUUGAGUACAGACGAGGUUGGCGGAAUGGACCGAGUAGCGGUGAAAUGCGUAGAUAUGGUCCAGAACUCCGAUUGCGAAGGCAGCUGACUAGGCUGUUACUGACGCUGAGG
rnacentral:rRNA from 1 species